GCUACUCUUGAGAGCGGCGCACGGGUGCGGAACACGUGUGCAACCUGCCUUUAUCUGGGGGAUAGCCUUUCGAAAGGAAGAUUAAUACCCCAUAAUAUAAUGAAUGGCAUCAUUUAUUAUUGAAAACUCCGGUGGAUAGAGAUGGGCACGCGCAAGAUUAGUUAGUUGGUGAGGUAACGGCUCACCAAGACGAUGAUCUUUAGGGGGCCUGAGAGGGUGAUCCCCCACACUGGUACUGAGACACGGACCAGACUCCUACGGGAGGCAGCAGUGAGGAAUAUUGGACAAUGGGUUAGCGCCUGAUCCAGCCAUCCCGCGUGAAGGACGACGGCCCUAUGGGUUGUAAACUUCUUUUGU
rnacentral:rRNA from 1 species